UGGGGAAUAUUGGACAAUGGGCGCAAGCCUGAUCCAGCCAUGCCGCGUGAGUGAUGAAGGCCCUAGGGUUGUAAAGCUCUUUCACCGGUGAAGAUAAUGACGGUAACCGGAGAAGAAGCCCCGGCUAACUUCGUGCCAGCAGCCGCGGUAAUACGAAGGGGGCUAGCGUUGUUCGGAUUUACUGGGCGUAAAGCGCACGUAGGCGGACUUUUAAGUCAGGGGUGAAAUCCCGGGGCUCAACCCCGGAACUGCCUUUGAUACUGGAAGUCUUGAGUAUGGUAGAGGUGAGUGGAAUUCCGAGUGUAGAGGUGAAAUUCGUAUAUAUUCGGAGGAACACCAGUGGCGAAGGCGGCUCACUGGACCAUUACUGACGCUGAGGUGCGAAAGCGUGGGGAGCAAACAGG
rnacentral:rRNA from 1 species